UACGGGGGGUGCGAGCGUUGUCCGGAAUCACUGGGCGUAAAGGGCGCGUAGGUGGUUUGAUAAGGGUGUGGUGAAAGUCCGGGGCUCAACCCCGGAUCUGCCGUGCCGACUGUCAAACUCGAGGGCUGUAGAGGCAGACGGAAUUCCGGGUGUAGCGGUGGAAUGCGUAGAGAUCCGGAGGAAGACCGGUGGCGAAGGCGGUCUGCUGGGCAGUUUCUGGCACUGAGGCGCGACAGCGUGGGGAGCAAACAGG
rnacentral:rRNA from 1 species